UGGGGAAUUUUGGACAAUGGGGGCAACCUGAUCCAGCAAUGCCGCGUGUGUGAAGAAGGCCUUCGGGUUGUAAAGCACUUUUGUCCGGAAAGAAAUCCUUGGCUCUAAUACAGUCGGGGGAUGACGGUACCGGAAGAAUAAGCACCGGCUAACUACGUGCCAGCAGCCGCGGUAAUACGUAGGGUGCAAGCGUUAAUCGGAAUUACUGGGCGUAAAGCGUGCGCAGGCGGUUUGCUAAGACCGAUGUGAAAUCCCCGGGCUCAACCUGGGAACUGCAUUGGUGACUGGCAGGCUAGAGUAUGGCAGAGGGGGGUAGAAUUCCACGUGUAGCAGUGAAAUGCGUAGAGAUGUGGAGGAAUACCGAUGGCGAAGGCAGCCCCCUGGGCCAAUACUGACGCUCAUGCACGAAAGCGUGGGGGAGCAAAACAGGAUUAGAUACCCUGGUAGUCCACGCCCUAAACGAUGUCAACUAGUUGUUGGGGAUUCAUUCCUUAGUAACGUAGCUAACGCGUGAAGUUGACCGCCUGGGGAGUACGGUCGCAAGAUUAAAACUUAAAUGAAUUGACGGGGUCAUAGCUGUUUCCU
rnacentral:rRNA from 1 species